rnacentral:rRNA from 1 species
CUCCCGGAUUUAGCGGCGGACGGGUGAGUAAUGCCUAGGAAUCUGCCUGGUAGUGGGGGACAACGACUCGAAAGGGUCGCUAAUACCGCAUACGUCCUACGGGAGAAAGUGGGGGAUCUUCGGACCUCACGCUAUCAGAUGAGCCUAGGUCGGAUUAGCUUGUAGGUGAGGUAAUGGCUCACCUAGGCAACGAUCCGUAACUGGUCUGAGAGGAUGAUCAGUCACACUGGAACUGAGACACGGUCCAGACUCCUACGGGAGGCAGCAGUGGGGAAUAUUGGACAAUGGGCGAAAGCCUGAUCCAGCCAUGCCGCGUGUGUGAAGAAGGUCUUCGGAUUGUAAAGCACUUUAAGUUGGGAGGAAGGGUUGUAGUUUAAUACGCUGCAAUCUUGACGUUACCAACAGAAUAAGCACCGGCUAACUCUGUGCCAGCAGCCGCGGUAAUACAGAGGGUGCAAGCGUUAAUCGGAAUUACUGGGCGUAAAGCGCGCGUAGGCGGCUUGAUAAGAUGGGUGUGAAAUCCCCGGGCUUAACCUGGGAACUGCAUCCAUAACUGUCUGGCUAGAGUACAGUAGAGGGUGGUGGAAUUUCCUGUGUAGC